rnacentral:rRNA from 1 species
ACAGGGGGAGCGAACGUUACUCGGAAUCACUGGGCAUAAAGGGCGCGUAGGCGGCCUGUUAAGUCGAACGUGAAAUCCCCGGGCUCAACCCGGGAACUGCGUCCGAUACUGGCAGGCUUGAAUUCGGGAGAGGGAUGCGGAAUUCCAGGUGUAGCGGUGAAAUGCGUAGAUAUCUGGAGGAACACCGGUGGCGAAGGCGGCAUCCUGGACCGAGAUUGACGCUGAUGCGCGAAAGCCAGGGGAGCAAACGGGA